AAUCCUGUAGUCGAAAAUGUUGUCUCUCUUGAGUGGAUCCUGAGUACGACGGAGCACGUGAAAUUCCGUCGGAAUCUGGGAGGACCAUCUCCUAAGGCUAAAUACUCUCUAGUGACCGAUAGUGAACCAGUACCGUGAGGGAAAGGUGAAAAGCACCCCGGAAGGGGAGUGAAAUAGAACCUGAAACCGUGUGCUUACAAGUAGUCAGAGCCCGUUAAUGGGUGAUGGCGUGCCUUUUGUAGAAUGAACCGGCGAGUUACGAUUUGAUGCAAGGUUAAGCAGUAAAUGUGGAGCCGUAGCGAAAGCGAGUCUGAAUAGGGCGUUUAGUAUUUGGUCGUAGACCCGAAACCAGGUGAUCUACCCUUGGUCAGGUUGAAGUUCAGGUAACACUGAAUGGAGGACCGAACCGACUUACGUUGAAAAGUGAGCGGAUGAACUGAGGGUAGCGGAGAAAUUCCAAUCGAACCUGGAGAUAGCUGGUUCUCUCCGAAAUAGCUUUAGGGCUAGCCUCAAGUGAUGAUUAUUGGAGGUAGAGCACUGUUUGGACGAGGGGCCCCUCUCGGGUUACCGAAUUCAGACAAACUCCGAAUGCCAAUUAAUUUAACUUGGGAGUCAGAACAUGGGUGAUAAGGUCCGUGUUCGAAAGGGAAACAGCCCAGACCACCAGCUAAGGUCCCAAAAUAUAUGUUAAGUGGAAAAGGAUGUGGCGUUGCCCAGACAACUAGGAUGUUGGCUUAGAAGCAGCCAUCAUUUAAAGAGUGCGUAAUAGCUCACUAGUCGAGUGACACUGCGCCGAAAAUGUACCGGGGCUAAACAUAUUACCGAAGCUGUGGAUUGUCCUUUGGACAAUGGUAGGAGAGCGUUCUAAGGGCGUUGAAGCAUGAUCGUAAGGACAUGUGGAGCGCUUAGAAGUGAGAAUGCCGGUGUGAGUAGCGAAAGACGGGUGAGAAUCCCGUCCACCGAUUGACUAAGGUUUCCAGAGGAAGGCUCGUCCGCUCUGGGUUAGUCGGGUCCUAAGCUGAGGCCGACAGGCGUAGGCGAUGGAUAACAGGUUGAUAUUCCUGUACCACCUAUAAUCGUUUUAAUCGAUGGGGGGACGCAGUAGGAUAGGCGAAGCGUGCGAUUGGAUUGCACGUCUAAGCAGUAAGGCUGAGUAUUAGGCAAAUCCGGUACUCGUUAAGGCUGAGCUGUGAUGGGGAGAAGACAUUG
rnacentral:rRNA from 1 species